rnacentral:rRNA from 1 species
UACGGGGGGGGCAAGCGUUGUUCGGAAUUACUGGGCGUAAAGGGCUCGUAGGUGGCCAACUAAGUCAGACGUGAAAUCCCUCGGCUUAACCGGGGAACUGCGUCUGAUACUGGAUGGCUAGAGAUUGGGAGAGGGAUGCGGAAUUCCAGGUGUAGCGGUGAAAUGCGUAGAUAUCUAGAGGAACACCGGUGGCGAAGGCGGCAUCCUGGACCAACACUGACGCUGAGGAGCGAAAGCGUGGGGAGCAAACAGG